UACGGAGGGUGCAAGCGUUGUUCGGAAUUAUUGGGCGUAAAGGGCGCGUGGGCGGUUGUGAUAGUCAGAUGUGAAAUCCUCCGGCUUAACUGGAGAACUGCAUCUGAAACUUCAUAGCUAGAGUACAGGAGAGGGAAACGGAAUUCCCGGUGUAGAGGUGGAAUUCGUAGAUAUCGGGAGGAACACCAGUGGCGAAGGCGGUUUCCUGGCCUGAUACUGACGCUGAGGCGCGAAAGCGUGGGGAGCAAACAGGAUUAGAUACCCUGGUAGU
rnacentral:rRNA from 1 species